UACGAAGGGGGCUAGCGUUGCUCGGAAUGACUGGGCGUAAAGGGCGCGUAGGCGGUUUGUACAGUCAGAUGUGAAAUUCCUGGGCUCAACCUGGGGGCUGCAUUUGAUACGUGCGGACUAGAGUGGGGAAGAGGGUCGUGGAAUUCCCAGUGUAGAGGUGAAAUUCGUAGAUAUUGGGAAGAACACCGGUGGCGAAGGCGGCGACCUGGUCCUUGACUGACGCUGAGGCGCGAAAGCGUGGGGGAGCAAACAGG
rnacentral:rRNA from 1 species